GGAAAAAAUCAUUUAAAACUACAAAAAAAAUACUUUUGAAAAUAAGGUACAUCUUUAUAUUUUGAAAAUUCUUUUUUGUAGUUACGUCGUGGGAAGCGAACGUUAAAAACUUCACCCUGUGCUUUUUUGUAUUGAAUUGGGGUGGCUCCUUUCAUAUGAAAAACAGAAAACUCUAUUUGCUUGAUUGUAGCGGUUAAGUUUUUUAAACGCAAAAAAUACAAUUGGUGCAAAAAAGUAAUACGUCUCGGGAAUUGACGUUAAACUUCGCCCUGUACAGCUAAUUACCAAAGGUAGCUCCUCUGGAAUUUAGUCUGUAGCAAACGUUGGAAAAAAUGUUUAACGUAUUCCGCACUCAUACUGUUGGAUACGUCUCUCAUUGUUUACCGAGGUGUGGUCUUUGGGAACAGACCCUUUCCUGAUUAUUCUUUAUUUCUAAAAUAAAGUUUGUUCAAUCAGGUCAAAAUAAAGAAAAACAGCACCCUGCGUUGAAGGAACAAAGGUAGCUCCUUUGUCCCCACAAUGAAAAAGAAUUCAAAUGUUGACGGUAACUAUAUCGUUGCGGUCAACUGUAAUUCUAUUAGGUCUUUGGGACAAGACCUAAAUCUAGCUUGUUUUGUUACCAGCUAGAAAGACAAAUAACAUGGUCAUCCUUGCACACUUUUUUUUUGGUUUAGGGUGACUCGAGCCAAAAAAAGUGCAAUAGUUUUUUAUUAUGGAUUAAAAUCUGGGAAAACAAAAUAAAAUCCUCUUAGCGGUGGAUAUCUCGGUUCUCACAACAAUGAAGAACGCAGCAAAGCGCGAUAGGUAUUGCGAAUUGCAGAGUUCAGUGAAUCAUCGUAUCUUUGAACGCACUAAGCGCCUCUGAGCUUUGCUCUUAGGCAUGCUUUUUCGAGUGUCAUUAUAAAAAAUAUCGAAACCCUGCUUGGUUGCGAAGCUCCUUGUUACAAAAUGUCACAUUCUCAUGAUCAACGGACGGCGGCUCCUGAUGUUGGUUGUGUGGGGUGUUUCACUAGUUCUAGUGAGAAUCGCGAAAGGUAAGGAAUCGGAGUUCGUUUGUCGAGCUGCAACAUUUGUUCGUCAAAUUAGAUUCUAUGAGUUUUGCACACGCUUCAUGGUGCGUGAAAGCACAGUGGAUUGUUCAAAAUUUUGUUUGGUACUGUUGUUAGUCUCCAAUCGUCUAAACAAAAACCUGAACAAUUACUCUGAGAGGUCUUUCACCAUUUUUCUGCUGUUCUCUUCUAAACUGACAAAGAAAAAAAUAAAAAGAAAGUUGAGCCAAACUUUUACGCCCGGGCUUUCUUCAGAGAAAAUGUUCAACUUAUAGUCUGCUGUGCAUGACAUUAAUCGUGUCCUCUGCUUUGCAGUCUAUUUUGUUGCGUUUUCUUUUUUAGUUGCUUGUGGCCUCUGACUGUGUGGGUCUUUGUUGUCAUGAUAACUAUUAAGUUGAUGUCCUUACAAAGUCUUUGUUGUGUGACCAACCAUUUGGAGUUGUGUCCUUACAAAAUCAAUUUUUUUAUUGUUUUUAUUAUUUGAUUGGGGAAAGAAUUUGACAGUAGAGAGCCAUUUUGCUGUAUUUUGUAGAGAAACUAGCCAAUUUUCUAUGAUUGCAUUGGGUCUCAUCCCAUAUGUGUAAGGCGUACGGUAACUGAAGAGGCAAUAUAAUUGUUUAAAAACUAUUAUUGCGUUUCUUUAUGGAGACACAGAAUAUGCUUUGGCCAAAUACGAAAUGCGGUGUAAAACAUCCAUUUCCGCUCGCCCUUGCAAGCCCAAGUUGGUUACAGUGCCCAGAUCUCCGGCCAUAAACUAGUUGUAAAAAGCUUGUUUAAAAUUCAUCAUGAAACCUCGAAUAAAGUAAGAAAACCCGCUUGAUUUAAGCAUAUAACUCAGCGGAGGAAAAGAAAUCAACAGAGAUUCCCUUAGUAGCGGCGAGCGAAACGGGAAAAGCCCAUCUUGAAUCCUUUUGUGGUUUCCAUUUAGGGAGUUGUGGGGUAUGGAUGUAUUUUCUGUGCGUGGCCUCGGUCUAAGUUCUCCUGGCAAGAGACAACGUAGAGGGUGAGAUUCCCGUCUAUGGCUGAGAGUUCGCGUCGUUAGAAAUGCUUUCCAAGAGUAGCGUAGUUCGAGAGUGCUGCGUGAAUAUGGGAGAUAAUCUUCUUCCAAGGCUAAAUAUCUGUGAGAGAUCGAUAGCGCACAAGUACCGUGAGGGAAAGAUGCAAAGAACUCUGAAGAGAGAGUCCAAAGACCUUGAAACCGCUAAGGGUGAAGGGAUGAACACCAGUACACGACAACUGUCCUAUGGUCAUUUUUUAUCUUUCAUUUGUUAGAUGUCUUUUGCUGUAGAACUUGGUGUUCUGCAGCCGAGCUCUUGCGUAAUGUUUUAUAGAACUUGAUCUUAAGGUACGCACGUCCAACAAUGAGGGUCAAUUCUGUCGCUGUUACGUCUGGAAGGAAAAGGUAAGAUGUGAUGCUUUUUUGGCUGAUUUCUGCUUUACAGUUCCUUCAGGACACAGACAAAGCAGCAACUGGGAUUGAGGUAUCGAACAGCACGCUGAAGACGUCGGUCUUUCAGGAAAGGAUUUGGCAAAAAUCGUUCCACCGUGCUCGAGAUCGUUUGGCUAAAUGGUGGUCAUCCUCCCGUCUUGAAACACGGACCGGGGAGUCUUUCGUAUAUGCAAGUCAAAAGGUGUAAAAACCUUACGGCGAAAUUAAAGUGAAGGUAAUUUAUUACUGAGAUGGCAUUCCUUAUUUUUUUUGAGGCACCCCCAUCGCCCGGCUUUGCAAUUACGGCAAGGUUCGAGGUUGAGCAUAUACGGUAGGACCCGAAAGAUGGUGAGCUAUGCUUGAGCAGGAUGAAGCCAGGGGAAACUCUGGUGGAGGUUCGCAGCGUUACUGACGUGCAAAUCGUUCGUCUGACUUGAGUAUAGGGGCGAAAGACCAAUCGAACCAUCUAGUAGCUGGUUCCCUC
rnacentral:misc_RNA from 1 species